GAUGAAGAACGCAGCGAAAUGCGAUAAGUAGUGUGAAUUGCAGAAUUCAGUGAAUCAUCGAAUCUUUGAACGCACAUUGCGCCCUUUGGUAUUCCUUAGGGCAUGCCUGUUCGAGCGUCAUUUAAACCUUCAAGCUAAGCUUGGUGUUGGGUGACUGUCCGCUUCACUGCGGACUCGCCUCAAAAUUAUUGGCGGCCGGUACAUUGGCUUCGAGCGCAGCAGAAACGCGAACUCGGGCCCGUCGUAUUGGCUCCCAGAAGCUAUCUUCACAAUUUUGACCUCGGAUCAGGUAGGGAUACCCGCGGAACUUAAGCAUAUCAAUAAGCGGAGGG
rnacentral:misc_RNA from 1 species